rnacentral:rRNA from 1 species
UAUAUGUUAAUUUUUUUCUUAUUUACAAUAAUAUUGUGUUGGGGCGAUAUAAAUAUUUAAAUAACUGUUUAUAAAAAUAUACAAUAAUUUUUGAAUAAUAACGUAAGAUCCUUUAUACAGAUUGCAAGAUUAAGUUACUUUAGGGAUAACAGCGUUAUUUUGUUUGAGAGUUCCUAUCGAAAGCAAAGUUUGCGACCUCGACUGUUGAAUUAAAAUUUCCUUAUGGUGCAGCAGCUAUACUAGGAGAGUCUGUUCGACUUUUAAAUUUUUACGUGAUCUGAGUU